UACGUAGGUGGCAAGCGUUGUCCGGAUUUACUGGGCGUAAAGAGCGUGUAGGCGGUUCGUACAGUCCGCUGUGAAAUCUCCAGGCUCAACCUGGAGUCGUCGGUGGAAACUAGCGAACUUGAGGACGGUAGAGGGGGGUGGAAUUCCCGGUGUAGUGGUGAAAUGCGUAGAGAUCGGGAGGAACACCAGCGGCGAAGGCGGUCCCCUGGGCCGCUCCUGACGCUGAGACGCGAAGGCCAGGGUAGCGAACGGG
rnacentral:rRNA from 1 species